CACGUAGGCACCAAGCGUUAUCCGGAUUUAUUGGGCGUAAAGAGCUCGUAGGCGGUUCGGUAAGUCGGGUGUGAAAACUCUGGGCUCAACCCAGAGAGGCCACUCGAUACUGCUGUGACUAGAGUGCGGUAGGGGAGCGGGGAAUUCAUGGUGUAGCGGUGAAAUGCGCAGAUAUCAUGAGGAACACCAGUGGCGAAGGCGCCGCUCUGGGCCGUAACUGACGCUGAGGAGCGAAAGCAUGGGUAGCAAACAGG
rnacentral:misc_RNA from 1 species